UACGUAGGGGGCAAGCGUUGUCCGGAAUCAUUGGGCGUAAAGAACGUGUAGGCGGCUUGGCAAGUCUGGUGUGAAAUCUUGCGGCUCAACCGCAAGCGGUCACUGGAAACUGCCUCGCUAGAGUCCGGAAGAGGAGAGCGGAAUUCCUGGUGUAGCGGUGGAAUGCGCAGAUAUCGAGGAAGAACACCCGUGGCGAAGGCGGCUCUCUGGGACGGUACUGACGCUGAGACGCGAAAGCGUGGGGAGCGAACAGG
rnacentral:rRNA from 1 species